GAUUAAGCAGAUAGGAUCGUGGCUGAUGUGGCCCUCAAGAUGUUCUACGCCCCUUUAUUUGUUUGGUUACAAAUCCCUUGGAGUGAGGUUCACUUCUGUACAAACGCUGCUGGAACAAGUCAAGCUACUUUUGCACUUCUACUCAUUAAGCAUUCACACCCACCCUCGAAGCCACUCCGAAGGAACAAAGGUCGCGGGGGGAUGGAUGGAGUGGGGGAGGGUGCGCUAUCCCAGCUGCAUUCGAACGGAAGGAGGCGUACACCCUGGACAAGUCGCCAACUCAUGGCAGUGAUGAUAACCACCCAACCAAAAAUGGAACUUAUUGUGACGUUGGCAAGGGUGAACAUUUGCACAUCAUCGACAUCAGCAAACACGUUGUGCAAGUGGGAGAGCUAACCUCCCACCAGCUGAGCUACACAGAAAAGGUUGCAACAGGUUGUCGUCAUCGAGCAUGGAGUUUGUUUUGUUGACCAUUGCAAGAGCAAUAAGGAUUUUUAGGGGCAUUAUGACUGGGUUAAUAAAACACAGCUGCCCCUAAAAGUCCCUCACUUUUCUUGCUGCCUUUUCUCUCCCUGCCUGACGCCACCUUUUUUCCUUCCUG